GGGGAUUUAGCUCAGUGGCAUAAGCGCCUGCCUUGCAAGCAUGCGGUUGUGAGUUCAAUCCCUG
rnacentral:tRNA from 1 species